UUCCCUCACGUCAAGGCUUUGGAAUACACCUUCAACCUGCUCAAUUCUCUUCAGGGGUUCUUCGUCGCAUGGCUCUAUUGCUUUCUCAAUUCGGAGGUUCGAAACGCCAUCAGAGAGCAUGUUCGCAAAUCUCGUGAAAGCAGGGCUUCGAUCACCAAUCCCAGUACAGUUUCAACA